AUAAACAAGCGCCAUUGGCAAUUUGCGUCACUUUGUUUCAUUUUAACAUACCCAUUCCUUCUAGAAUGGAAUCUUCUAAUAAUCUAUCUUGUGUGGGUCUUCAGAAACAGCGGCGACUCUUGUAGACUGAAAAUCUAACUCUUGAAGCUGUGGUCACUAUGAAGAGCCAGAGACUCUCUUUCAUGACGGAUGAGAACCGACGACUCAGGGAACUUUUGCGAAUGCGCGUGCGACAAGCGACAGCCAUUAUGGUGGACGUACACAAUCUUACGUGUGAGAUAACCGACAUCGAAGAUAAGGAAGAAAUUGGCACGAAGUAGGAGAAGAGCAAAGGGAGACGAAGGAAGACGGAGGUAACAUUGCUGAUAGACACCUGGAAACCAAUUAUAUGUCUGUUAUAGGUUAUUUGUUCGAGAGAGAGAGACGGGAUCGUAGAUAUUCGUCGGUUUUCCCUAAGAUUGUGUAGCCACUCCAGAAAAUAUUAUAGAAGAAUUUAUUCAAUGUAAUAUAUGUAUACAU